rnacentral:rRNA from 1 species
GAUGAACGCUAGCGGCAGGCUUAAUACAUGCAAGUCGAGGGGCAUCAAGGUACACGAAAGUGUAUUGUUGGCGACCGGCGGACGGGUGAGUAAUAGGUAGGUAACCUACCUCAUACUGAGGCAUAGCUGGGAGAAAUUCCAGGUAAUUCCUCAUGAGGUUAUAUGACACAUGUGAUAUAAUCAAAGGUAUCGCAAGGUACUGGUAUGAGAUGGGCUUACUGACCAUUAGCUAGUUGGUGAGAUAAGAGCUCACCAAGGCGAAGAUGGUUAGGGGUUUUGAGAGAGAGAUCCCCCACAUUGGAACUGAGAUACGGUCCAGACUCCUACGGGAGCAGCAGUAGGGAAUAUUGGGCAAUGGGCGGAAGCCUGACCCAGCCAUGCCGCGUGAAGGAAGACGGCCUUAUGGGUUGUAAAACUUCUUUACUAUGCGACUAACUAGAUUUACGAGAUAAUUCUAUAGAAUGUAGCAUAGACAAAAAGACACC